UGGCGAAUGGAAGUUUGACAAUGUUAUUCCUGUUUUUAAAAAAGACGAACGAUAUUCCAAGAAUAAUUAUCGCCCCGUUUCUUCAUUGCCUAGUCUGUCCAAGAUUUGUGAAAAAAUAAUAUUUGCUCGUCUGUAUGAUUUUUUAAUGGACAUUGACUUUUUGCAUCCAUUUCAAUCCGGUUUUCGUCCAGGCCAUUCUACGACUUCUAAACUCAC